rnacentral:lncRNA from 1 species
CCUGUCCCUGCUCGCCUGUUCCCUUUCCCAUACACACACACCCGGGAGUGUGAAGGAGCAAGUGCCGACAGCUACAACCGCGAUUCAGAGGUUCUUGAAAGGGUUGCUGUUGUUUCUGGACAGUCAUCCUGGGCGGCUGUCCCCAGGCCAGCGAGGCCGACUGCUUAGCCUGCAGCCUGGGCCGCACUCCUGAGACACUCUGCCCCCAUCUGACUGGCCACGUGCCCUCUCGCUCCUCAGUGGCAAAGGAGGAAGAGGCAGUGAGAUGGCAAAUAGGCAAGGCCACCAUCAGUCAUUGUCGUCACUGUCACCAUCGUCUUGCAGAUCAGCCACAAUCCUGCCUGCACAGAACAGGUGAUCUUCCUCCUGCUCCCUCUUCCAUUUGGAAUACUGCCGUCACCACCUGUGCAGUCUCUCCGACCAGAAACCUCAGUGUCAUCCUGAUUCA